rnacentral:rRNA from 1 species
UACGAAGGGGGCUAGCGUUGUUCGGAAUUACUGGGCGUAAAGCGCGUGCAGGCGGCUAUCCAAGUCAGUGGUGAAAGCCCGGAGCUCAACUCCGGAACUGCCAUUGAAACUGUUUAGCUUGAGGAUGAGAGAGGUGAGUGGAAUUCCCAGUGUAGAGGUGAAAUUCGUAGAUAUUGGGAAGAACACCGGUGGCGAAGGCGGCUCACUGGCUCAUUACUGACGCUCAGGCGCGAUAGCGUGGGGAUCAAACAGG